GAUGAACGCUAGCGAUAGGCUUAACACAUGCAAGUCGAGGGGCAUCAACACUUUCGGGUGGUUGGCGACCGGCGCACGGGUGAGGAUCGCGUAUGCAACCUGCCUUUCACACGGGGAUAACCCGCGGAAACGCGGACUAAUAUCCGAUGUCGCUGAGGGACCGCAUGGUUUUUCGGCGAAAGAUUCAUCGGUGGGAGAUGGGCAUGCGUUCCAUUAGUUUGUUGGUGAGGUAACGGCUCACCAAGGCUUCGAUGGAUAGGGGAACUGAGAGGUUUAUCCCCCACACCGGUACUGAGACACGGACCGGACUCCUACGGGAGGCAGCAGUGAGGAAUAUUGGUCAAUGGGCGCAAGCCUGAACCAGCCAAAUCGCGUGAAGGAAGAAGGUAUUAUGUAUCGUAAACUUCUUUUAUAGGGGAAUAAAGUAGGGGACGCGUCCCCUUUUGCACGUACCCUUUGAAUAAGCAUCGGCUAACUCCGUGCCAGCAGCCGCAGUAAAAC
rnacentral:rRNA from 1 species